GAUUAACGCUAGCGGCAGGCAUAAUACAUGCAAGUUGAACGGCAGCACAGGUAGCAAUACUGGGUGGCGAGUGGCGCACGGGUGCGUAACACGUAUGCAACCUACCCUAUACAGGCGAAUAACCUUUAGAAAUGAGGGCUAAUACGCCGUAGUAUUACAGAUGGGCAUCUAUUUGUAAUUAAAGAUUUAUCGGUAUAGGAUGGGCAUGCGUCCCAUUAGUUAGUUGGUAAGGUAACGGCUUACCAAGACGAUGAUGGGUAGGGGAUCUGAGAGGACUUACCCCCACACUGGUACUGAGACACGGACCGGACUCCUACGGGAGGCAGCAGUAAGGAAUAUUGGGCAAUGGCCGCGAGGCUGACCCAGCCAUGCCGCGUGCAGGAAGACGGCCUUAUGGGUUGUAAACUGCUUUUAUACGGGAAUAAUAGAGUGUACGCGUACAUUUAUGCAAGUAUCGUAUGAAUAAGCAUCGGCUAACUCCGUG
rnacentral:rRNA from 1 species